GACGAACGCUGGCGGCGUGCUUAACACAUGCAAGUCGAACGGAAAGGCCCUGCUUUUGUGGGGUGCUCGAGUGGCGAACGGGUGAGUAACACGUGAGUAACCUGCCCUUGACUUUGGGAUAACUUCAGGAAACUGGGGCUAAUACCGGAUAGGAGCUCCUGCUGCAUGGUGGGGGUUGGAAAGUUUCGGCGGUUGGGGAUGGACUCGCGGCUUAUCAGCUUGUUGGUGGGGUAGUGGCUUACCAAGGCUUUGACGGGUAGCCGGCCUGAGAGGGUGACCGGCCACAUUGGGACUGAGUUACGGCCCAGACUCCUACGGGAGGCAGCAGUGGGGAAUAUUGCACAAUGGGCGGAAGCCUGAUGCAGCAACGCCGCGUGCGGGAUGACGGCCUUCGGGUUGCAAACCGCUUUCGCCUGUGACGAAGCGUGAGUGACGGUAAUGGGUAAAGAAGCACCGGCUAACUACGU
rnacentral:rRNA from 1 species